AGCAGAGUCUUGAGAGGGAGAGGCAGAGCCUAGAGACCCUCAAGGGAGAGAUGUCUGUAAAUGAUGAGACUGUGGAACAGUGGGUCAGAGAUGUCUGGGACUGGGCUGAACAUGACAGCAGAGAUAUAUGUGGCUCAACAUGAUGCAAUGGUCCAACCCCAAGAGUAAAUCGGCCCUGUCAGUAACGCAGUACAAGCUGGCUUCAUAUUUCUUUGGCAGUUACCCCCAACUGAUGGUGUGGUUCCUUGCCAAAAAAAAGAUUUUUGAUAAGGUAAUGCACAUAGGAAGACUGCAGGAGGAGGUGAUGAUCCUUGCUAGAGAAGUAAGGCAACACUGGGAGUUCCUCAAGAGAACAGAGCGGACAUUGAGUCUAUCCAUCAGCCAUUACCCAUUACAAUAAAACCAUCAACAGAUCACACUCAUCUACCCUGUAGAUGU